AUUGAACGCUGGCGGAAUGCUUUACACAUGCAAGUCGAACGGCAGCACGGACUUCGGUCUGGUGGCGAGUGGCGAACGGGUGAGUAAUACAUCGGAACGCGUCCUGUAAUGGGGGAUAACCUGGCGAAAGCCAGGCUAAUACCGCAUACGUCCUGAGGGAGAAAGCGGGGGAUCGCAAGACCUCGCGUUAUAGGAGCGGCCGAUGUCGGAUUAGCUAGUUGGUGGGGUAAAGGCCUACCAAGGCGACGAUCUGUAGCGGGUCUGAGAGGACGGCCCGCCACACUGGGACUGAGACACGGCCCAGACUCCUACGGGAGGCAGCAGUGGGGAAUUUUGGACAAUGGGGGCAACCCUGAUCCAGCCAUUCCGCGUGAGUGAAGAAGGCCUCGGUUG
rnacentral:rRNA from 1 species